ACUUUAGUUUUAAAAGGCCUAAAUACUAACUUAAAUGAAUCAAUCAGAGAACCCCAAUUUUGAAAGGAUUAAUGUGAAUUGUAAGAAUCAUUAUCCAUAUAUAGCUAGCAUUAAGUAAAACAAAAAUAAGAAUUCCUUCUUUUCAGUU